CCAGACAUUUCCACGGCAUUUUUCUAGUCACCAAGCACAUGUCUGCAUUCCUCGUCUUCUUAGCAUCUCCGCUCAGCCAGAGAGACAGGUGUUGCUAUCUCCAUUUCCUCGGUGGACCCUGAGAUUGGGCUGGGGGUGAUGUUUCCAAGCCCCUAGGUCAUCAUCUGGCAUCUGGAUGCAUUUCGAUGUCCUUGGCUUGGUUCCCCUAUCUCCUCUUUAUACUUAGAUCCAGGGUUCAUCUCUACAUUUCCACAGUAGUGAGACCCUAUCAGAAAUCUGCAGAAGUGGAUUGAGUGAGAGAGGAGACAGAACUGGAAAACACCAGAUCAGAAAGGACAACUUCUCCAACCCCCUACAUUGUCGACUGAAGAAAAUGGCCCAGAGAAAGGUGACUUCCUCCAGACCCAUCUUGACAGAGGUUCUUUCCCCUCGGCUUUGGUUGUUGCCACCAACGCUGCCGUCAAGGAUGUUUAGAACAACUGAGGCACAGGACCAUCUGACUGCAAACACAGGCUCUACCCGUCCCUGGCAGCUGUAUGUUCCUCAGAGUUCAGAGUGGAGGCUCCUCUAGACCCUGCCCAAUAUUCGUUCCCUUGCUAAAUCAUAGGAUGCUGGUAGCCGGCUAUGCUGAGAGCAGGUUAUUCUGGUGCCUGGGUCUUUGACGGUUUACUGUCUGACCACGUACCAGGGGCUUCUGAUAGCCAUCCUGUGACUGUUGCAGAUGAUGGAAUGUGUACGGCUUGUGACACCCUUCCCAUGGCAUCCAGUAGGUCUGGGGCUCCAAGCAGCCCUUGUCUGCCAGUUACAAAAUUUCUUCCACACAAAGAGGCAUGUCAGAGUGCAAGCAACGGGCCAGGGCAUUAUUACAGGAUUACGUGGAAUCUGUUCUAAUUGACUAAAACAAGAAAGAUCAUCAAUCAUUUGAAAGACUCGGCAGUUAUUAUUAGGUAGCCGCUUGCCUAUGACACACCUCAAAACUGCUCCAGGCAUGCAGCAUGUCAGGGCACCGCUGUGGGAGAACCGCUGGUCAAGAUGAUGCCAGAGCUGCCAGUUGUGAAAUGAAAGCCAAUGCCAAUUAACUCAUUGUUUCAUCUGCCGUGGGCCAGAGAAUCGACUGGGGAGAACAUUUUGUCCACACUCAGUGAACUGGCUGGUGGUCUUGGCCCU